rnacentral:rRNA from 1 species
UCAUAUGCUUGUCUCAAAGACUAAGCCAUGCAAGUCUAAGUACAUGCUUUAACAAAGCGAAACCGCGAAUGGCUCAUUAAAUCAGUUAUGGUUCCUUAGAUCGUACUAUCCUACUUGGAUAACUGUGGUAAUUCUAGAGCUAAUACAUGCAGCAGAACUCAGACCUUCGGGGACGAGUGCUUUUAUUAGACCAAGACCAAUCGGGCUUCGGCUCGACACCCAUGGCGACUCUGGAUAACUUUGGGCUGAUCGCACGAUCUCGUAUCGGCGACGUUUCUUUCAAGUGUCUGCCUUAUCAACUGUCGAUGGUAGGUUAUGCGCCUACCAUGGUCGUAACGGGUGACGGGGAAUCAGGGUUCGAUUCCGGAGAGGGAGCCUGAGAAACGGCUACCACAUCCAAGGAAGGCAGCAGGCGCGCAAAUUACCCACUCCCGGCACGGGGAGGUAGUGACGAAAAAUAACAAUACGGGACUCUUUUGAGGCCCCGUAAUUGGAAUGAGUACACUCUAAAUCCUUUAACGAGGAUCCAUUGGAGGGCAAGUCUGGUG